ensembl:lncRNA
GGAGGGGGGAGGGAAGAAGCACAACCUAACAUGCUGUUCGGGGGCGGAGGCGCUUGCGGUAGCCAAUAGGCAUCCGGCUGCCGAGAGAGAGUGACGUCUCCACUUAACCAAUCGAAGCGCUGGGCGAGAGAAGGCGGGAGCGAUCGUCGCACCGCUGACCAAUGGGAGAAGCCAUCCCUUUGACCAACAGCUGCGCGCCCCAAUAGGACGGCCGCAUAGCGGGCCGGCGAGCGCCGCUUCACCUAUAGGAAAUUCGCCAUGGUGCCGGGAGAAGUUGCAGCAACCAACAGAAGGCAGUCUGCAAAAGACCACUGAGAGAAGUGGGAAUUCCCAUUUUUGAGAUGAAUUCAGCAACCCUGCUGCUGCUAGACCUACAGGCAGGGAGGGGAGAUGUGGAUGGAACACGCAGCACGUAUGGCAGAAUUAGUGCAUGUGGUACAACAUCCCCAUGCCUGAGGACAGGGAGUGCAGCUAAGGACACGGUGGAGUUUACAAGAGUACUUCACAUGUUGAGAUGCUUUAUAGUCCCCCCUGUGACUAGCCUAGCAAAAACCAUAUGUGAAAUAUAAAUAUACUGGGACUUAAAAAUUGAGUUGUAUUCCAGCCUUUUAAGUUAAUUUUAUAACAUGCUGCAUCCGGGGGCUUAAUGUGUUCUGUAAUGUGGUGCUAGCUGAGUAGCACCACAUAAAUGUGGUAUGUACUGGAGGCACUAGACGGUCUGAUGGAAGAGGAUAUGGAAAAGAGAAAGGUAGAUGGUAGAAAUAACAUAUUUUAGUGAAAGAAGGAAUCCAUUUUAAACCAACUGGCUGUUUGCUUCCUUCAGCCCAAUGCAACAAUGAACUCCUGUUGUCAUGCUGAGUCAGUUGGCAGUGACUCAUUUUAUCAGUCUCAAAAUUGUCCAGCAUUUCAUCAGAACUGGAUUACACAAUGGGUUUUUCCUUUUCCCCCUCUUUUUUUUUUCCCCCCAAUACACUUGUAAUAUUAAUAGGCACACAAAUCAUCUGAUGUUAACAUGUUUCCUCAUUAACUUUUACUUUUUUAAUUAUAGGAUUGGUAAUCAUACAACUUCCCAAAGAGGGAAAUACAGAAAUCCCAAAUCUGACUUGAAAUUGUAAAGUACGAACUUUCUUAGUUAUUCACUUCUCUCUGUUAAAAAUAAAUUAAAGUCCUUUGUUACUUUCCACAGGAUACUGGCAUAGCUAACAUAUGCUCACAAUUGUUCAGCUGAGGUAUGUGUCCUCUAUUGGGUGUGGAGAGAAAAUUUGUAUGUGGAAACAGCAGCCAACGUGUCAGGGAUGAUUUUUGUCCACAGCAGGGCUUUUUCAGCCAUUUCUUCAAAAGCCUCUUGGAAAAAACACUCAAAUGUGGUAUUUUAUUCACUGAAACACUGCACAUGCGAUAUGAUUUAUUUAUGGGCAUAUUUAUUCCUUAAACACACACAAAAAAGCGUGUUAUGUAAAAUAUAAAGGGAGUGGUUCUGUAAUUAAAGCUUAAGAACAUUCUCCUGGUCUUCAUAGACUGAAAACGUUGGGUCUGUCAGGUUUGUAACUAACUCAGCGGAUCAGUGCACUUCACCAGAUUCUUUGAUUUUAGCACCUAUGCUGUUACACAGUUUCAAUCACAGUGAUAUGAAUAAAUUGAAAAUGUGUAAAAAGUGAUGCUGAGUUGGCUGGACAGCAACGCAUCUGUUCUAAAAUCCAGCAUUUCUAAGUCAACCAUCUUGUCUGCCCUAACAAAACAUCUGUAUUUUCCACCCACAUGAUUAAAUUAAUUGUGUUCAAUCAAAUCCACUUUCUAAUUGUAGAUUUAAGGCAAAAGGGUGGAUCUUCAGUUUUUAAUCUGAGAAAAUCCAAACUGUUUGGAAUAUGCUCCGUUUCUGUCCCAACCUAUACACCCUAUUCUGGGCUUAAUCCCAUCUGUCUGUGUUUGGACUCAGUCCUGAUGGCUGGGAAAUGGAAAGCUUCCAAGUGUCUUUGAAUAAUUUUUUAAUUUUGUUCUUCAGUGGUUCUAGCUCUUUGUUGUUAAUUAGAUCAAACAGUGUCUCCACCGAGGAUGUAACGGUAGUGUCAUCAGCCUGUAAUCUGUCAGGUCCCUCUGAAACCUCCUUCAACUGCUUUUGUAAAUUUAGUACCUCUCUGCAAAGUUCCUCGCUGAGUAAAAUGUGUGCUAUUUUUUUUUGAUCAAAGUCCUUCUUGUUCUCAGUGCAAAUUUCAGCCUACUUGUUGAUGCAGAUGUAGAGGCAUGUGUUCCUGAAAGCAGCACUGAGCGUCACUGGGAAUUGGAAGCAUCCAUCUGCCUUGUCCACUCACGUUAGCUGUACUGCUGGUGACCAUAGGCUCUACAGCACAAUUCUGGGAGGGUUUGCAAACUGAUUUUCUAACUCCAUUUGAUUGAAAUGCAGCACUGAGCAGCCACGUAGCAGAAGCAGAAGAAAUUGGUUUAAGUAUCCUUGUUUUAACUUUGUUUCUUGCUGUCUAACAAGUAAAGAGAUUGUGUUCAGGUAUUUCAUCUUUGUUCUUGGAUAGUGUCUUCACUAACACUGUAUCAAUGCUGUGGUUUUCAUUUUGGUGCAGAAUAAAAAGCAGCACGCAAGCACACAUUUCAUUGUCUGCAUGCUAGUGGGCAACAAUGUCAUUUAUCAUGUUCACCUACCUCUCCUGCACAGUUCAGUGCUGUUACUUUUUCUUGUCUUCUGCCUCCAUUUCUUCACUUGGAGAUUCUUGUAGUGGACAGUUGAAUUUACAAGUCUCUAAAAUAAAUGUUUCAAUCAUUGCUAUCAAUUGCUCCUUUUGUGUUCUUUUGAAGGCAAUAUCAUUAA